rnacentral:rRNA from 1 species
AUACGGAGGGGGCUAGCGUUGUUCGGAAUUACUGGGCGUAAAGCGCGCGUAGGCGGUCUGUCAAGUUGGGUGUGAAAGCCCGGGGCUCAACCCCGGAAUAGCACUCAAAACUGGCAAGCUAGAGACCGAGAGAGGUGAGUGGAAUUUCCAGUGUAGAGGUGAAAUUCGUAGAUAUUGGAAAGAACACCAGUGGCGAAGGCGGCUCACUGGCUCGGUACUGACGCUGAGGUGCGAAAGCGUGGGUAGCAAACAGGAUUAGAAACCCCAGUAGUCC